CAAUUAUUAUUCACACUGCACUCACUACAAACACACUACAUUUAUUAUUCAUACUCUGCAUUCACUACAAACACACUACAUUCAUUAUACACGCACUGCACUAUAUGCAUAAGAGUGUAAUUUUUUUUUAAUUUUUUUUUUUAAGGGCGGGGGGGAGGCGGGAAUCUUGGGUGAGUUCCCACACUUUUUUCCCCAGGACUUGACCC